GACGAUGUUAAUAGGUUCGAGGUGGAAGCGUGGUGACACGUGGAGCUGACGAAUACUAAUCGAUCGAAGACUUAAUCAAUUU
rnacentral:rRNA from 1 species